CUAUACAAUAGUUUUCAUGAACUAGAAAGUGAUUAUGAGAAACUUGGUAAAACUACAAUAGGGAUCAAAUCUUGGAGUAUAGGACCGGUUUCAGCAUGGAUUAACAAAGACGAUGAUAAAGGAUACACAGAAAAGAACAUUGGAAAAGAUCAAGAAUUGGUAAAUUGGCUUAAUUCUAAGGAAAACGAGUCUGUGUUGUAUGUAAGUUUUGGAAGCCUUACUAGGCUUUCUCAUGAACAGAUUGCUGAAAUAGCUCAUGGUCUUGAAAAUUCUGGUCAUAAUUUCAUUUGGGUUGUUAGAGAAAAGGAUAAAGAUGAUGGUGAAGAAGGUUUUCUGAUAGAUUUGAGAAAAGGAUGAAAGAAAGCAAAAAGGGCUAUAUCAUAUGGAAUUGGGCCCCACAGCUUCUGAUAUUGGAUCACCCUGCAACAGGAGGAAUUGUGACUCACUGUGGUUGGAACUCAAUUCUUGAAAGCUUGAAUUCUGGUUUGCCAAUGAUAACAUGGCCAAUAUUUGCUGAACAAUUUUACAAUGAGAAGCUGCUUGUUGAUGUUUUGAAGAUUGGAGUCGCGGUUGGAUCAAAAGUGAACCAGUUUUGGCUUAGCAUUGGUGAAGAGGUAGUGGUGAGAAGGGAGGAGAUAGUGAAGGCUGUUGAGAUAUUGAUGGGAAGUGGUCAAGAGGGAAAAGUGAUGAGGAUGAGAGCAAAGAAGCUUGGUGAUGCUGCAAAGAAGACUAUAGAGGAAGGUGGAGAUUCUUACAACAACUUGAUUCAAUUGAUUGAUGAGCUAAAAUCAUUGAAGAUUGCUAGAGAACUUGAAAAAACCAGAUUAGAUAAUUGAAUUUGAGGAUGAGUUGAUGACAUUAAUUUAAUAUUAUUGCUCUAGGAGUUGCAGCUGGUGUGAUUUUAUAAAAGUUUUUUGGUUUUGCAACAUUUAUUUUAUAGUUACUAAUAUAAAGAUUUCUCUAACAUUUUUUAAUAAGUGUUACAUUAGUUUGGUAGCAUUUAUAUCACAACACAUUUCUAUUCCACUAAAACAAAACCGUUUCAACUCUCUCUCACUCUCUCUCUCUCUCGGGUACCAACUAACCAAGAGAAGCAAACGUUCAAAAAUUGCCGCAAGCUAAAUAUGCGAUUCCGAUCACUUUUUGAUUGUUACAGGUAGUAUUAUAAAAUGAAACUAAAACUCUUUAGUAACACCGGCUUUACCUAAUAAUUGUUCAAGUGUUACUAAAUUUAAUUAGUAUCAUUUUUCUUGAUUUAGUUACAAUUUUCAAGUGUUAUUAAAUGUCAUUAUUGUAGUAGUGGUUGAAUAACAUGCAAGUAUUUUGAAGCUAAUAAUUCUCAUGUAGGGAUCUGAUAUUCAUAUAGCCAUUUAUUAUUACUUCUGUGAUGUGUCAGUGGUUGAUCUUUGAUUUCAGUUUUUCUAUUUACUUCAAAUAAUUUGUAUAUUUAACGGGGGAAAAACUAUACUCACUACCUAACUUCGGGAUGAAUAAUUUUCCCAAGAACAUUUGUAUUAGUAAUGAUCUGUGUAGUGUAGGGAGUUAUAGUUGAGCCCGUGGUUUUGAAUUGUGGUUGAGAUUACGCUGCAAACCUUUUUAUUGCAGGAAAAUGUGGUCGAAAUUGUAGUUGCGAUGUCAUUGCAGAGAACUCAAAAUCCUUUACAUUUCGGCCUCAAAAUUUAAAACCAUAGUGGAGCUUUAGUCAGCCAACUCUUCAAGAAAAUGGGGGAACCAAAAUGACAGUUCCAUCACAAUCCCACCCUUAGACACUGCAGUCUGCGUUGGAUCAAUACAUUCCUUUUCAAGUAAGAAGAAAGAAACAUUACUCCAAUUUACAGGAUUUAGUACAUGAAGGGAAAUAUUCACAAUAUUAUUUAAUCAGAUGAAACAGAAAUAUUAUUUAAUCAGAGCAAAGAGGCACUUCAGACAAUAUCCUCUUCCGAAGAGGCACUUCUCAUAUGUAGAUUAUGGACUAGAAAAUCAAAGCAAACCAAAAGAGAUGAUCAACAAAGUCUCAACCAAGUAAAAAAUGUUAAAGACAUAGAUCACUUGACUGGAAUUUUUUAGACUAAUUUCACCUUUUAAUUUAAAUUUGAUAUCUUUUACUGCUCUUUCAUGAUUUAGACAUGUGUUUCUUUUCACUGAAAUUUUACUACUCAUUUUUGCUUCACCUAAUAUUAUUGUCUAACUUAUAUCUAAUCUAACGAUACUUAAACAAGUCAUCUGCAACCCCGUGCCUCCCGCGGGUCUCAUUCUAGUUUUUUUUUUUUUUUUUUAUUAAUUAAAGUGCCAAUAAUAUCCAUUUUACAACCGUUUCCACUGGAAUUGGAGGUUAUAAGGCUAUGCUCUUAUGACUUAGCUGGCCCCUCAAGCGUCUUCUAGCCGUCCUUGGAAUUGUCUCCACUUCUUGUUCUUUUCUUUUUUGUGUUGAUAUAUUAGAACAAUAAGAUUAGUUUAUUAAGGUUUGAGUAGCAUAUUCUAUGUUGAAAUACUAAAACUAAACAUAUGUCUAUGUCUGAUUCAGGCAUAGACAUACUACUAUGUUUAACUGUUUCAACUUAGGAUAUGCCAACCAGCAAAUACAAAAGGAAAAGAACAAGUAGAGGAAACAAAUGACCUAAAGACUUAUUCCAAUGAUCUUAUAAUGCAAAUAAAAGACAAAACAGAAUCAUCUAUACUUGUUCACGAUGCAUGAGAAAGAUGCGUUAGAAAGAUUAAAAGGUAGAGCCUCAAAUUGUGUUUGGUAAGAAAAGUUGAGUAAUAUUUCUCUUCUCAACUUGUUUUAUAAACAUAGAAACUCAACCCCAACAACUCAAUGUUACUUUUCUACCACAUGUAACUCCUGGUCAUAUGAACCCUAUGAUUGACACAGCAAGGCUAUUUGCAAAGCAUGGUGUUGAUGUUACCAUCAUCACUACACAAGCAAAUGCCUUGUUAUUCAAGAAACCCAUCGACAACGACUUGUUUUCUGGAUAUUCCAUCAAAGCUUGUGUGAUUCAAUUCCCUGCAGCCCAAGUUGGUCUUCCAGAUGGUGUUGAAAACAUCAAAGAUGCCACUUCCCGUGAAAUGCUUGGUAAAAUCAUGCUUGGAAUUGCGAAGAUCCAAGAUCAAAUUGAGAUUUUGUUCCAUGAUCUCCAACAAGAUUGUAUAGUCUCAGAUAUGUUAUUUCCUUGGACAGUGCAAUCAGCUGCAAAACGCGGCAUUCCUAGGCUUUACUAUUACAGCUCAAGCUACUUCUCAAGUUGUGCAGCUCAAGCUACUUCUCAAGUUGUGCAGCUCACUUUAUCAAGAAGCAAAAGCCUCAUGAGAAUUUAGUUUCUGAUUCUCAAAAAUUCUCAAUUCCUGGUCUUCCACAUAACAUUGAGAUUACUUCUCUACAAUUACAAGAAUAUGUGAGGGAAUGGAGUGAAUUCUCAGAUUAUUUUGAUGCUGUAUAUGAAUCAGAGGGAAAAAGUUAUGGAACUUUAUGCAAUAGCUUUCACGAACUUGAAGGUGAUUAUGAGAAUCUUUACAAGAGCACAAUGGGGAUCAAAGCAUGGAGUGUAGGACCAGUUUCAGCAUGGCUUAAAAAGGAGCAGAAUGAAGACGUUAUUGUAGAGUCGGAAUUGCUUAACUGGCUUAAUUCAAAGCCGAAUGAUUCUGUGUUGUAUGUAAGUUUUGGAAGCUUGACAAGACUCUCUCAUUCCCAGAUUGUAGAAAUAGCUCAUGGUCUUGAAAAUUCAGGUCAUAAUUUCAUUUGGGUUGUUAGGAAAAAAGAUGGAGAAGGAGACGAAGACGGGUUUCUUGAUGAUUUUAAGCAAAGGAUGAAAGAAAACAAAAAGGGAUAUAUCAUAUGGAAUUGGGCACCACAACUUCUCAUAUUAGGUCACCCUGCAACAGCAGGGGUAGUGACUCAUUGUGGUUGGAACUCAAUUCUUGAAAGCUUGAGUGUUAGUUUGCCAAUUAUUACAUGGCCAAUGUUUGCGGAGCAGUUUUACAAUGAGAAGCUUCUUGUUUUUGUUUUGAAGAUAGUAGUUUCGGUUGGAUCAAAAGUGAACACAUUUUGGUCGAAUGAGGGUGAGGUUGCAGUGAUUUGAAGGGAAGAGAUUGCAAAGGCUGUUGAGAUUUUGAUGGGAAGUGAAGAAGAGAGCAUAGCAAUGAGGAGCAGGGUAAAAAAAUUGGUUAUGCUGCAAAGAAGAGUAUAGAUGAGAAUGGAAUCUCUUACAACAACUUGAUGCAAUUAAUAGAUGACCUAAAAUCAUUGAAGACAUCAAGAAGGCUUGACAAACAGUAAUGGUGUUUCACUAUGUAGAGCAAUUUUGAAAGGAACUACUAUCAAUUAGAGUUCAAUUCAGUUAUGAAACUUUACAAUUCGGUUGUGCUCAGGCAAGUGUUAGUUAGAAGUCUCACAAAAUUAUUUAUAAUUUUCUUAUAUGGUAUAAUAGCUUAAUUUCUAUUUUUGUAAUGGAUUUUACGCUAAUAAAAAAUUAAUUUCUACGUGUUUCUUCAUAAUUUCAGAAUUUUGUAAUGGAUUUGUUUCUUCAAUAAACCAACUUAGCCAGAAAUGAAUUUUUUUUUUAACCCGUUUGGUUUGGCUUGUGACCAUAGAGCGAGCAUGCUCCUCUCAUGGUCUUAAACUUGAUCCCCUGUAAAAUUUUUGGUGGGCUAGUUGAUAUGGGUCCCACAAGUGGGCAGUGAGAAUUGACCAUUCUAAUUUAUCAGCCUUGGGCCGGAUACCGAGUUUUUUUUUUAAAAAAUGUUUAUUGUUUUUAUAAGAGAGAAGAGUAUGAAAAACAAAAUGAUACAAUAAAUUUUCUCUUUACCGUUUGCCACAGCCGUAACAAUGUUUUGUCUGUUCAUUCCUGUUUUGUUUUUUCACUGAAUUAAAAUGGAGAAAAAAACUAACAGUUCCUAUACCUUUACGUCCAGCUGUUUUUCGCAGUAACAAUUCCGUUUUGAAAAUCUUGGUUCCCCUCAUGACCCAAAUCCUCAUGCAAUCGUAAUCCGAUCUAUAUGCAUUUUAAAUUUUAAAUUCUAUUGUCAAACCACGAAAUGUGAUUUUUUGUUUUAAUUCAGAAUCUACUGUCUUUAUUUUUUUACAGAGAAAAUGUACUAUUUGAUAUAAUAUAUCCUACGACAAAUAGUCAAGAGCAGUUGGAUGAGAUUAUAAAAGAUCUCUUCCAAGUCAAUGACACCAGUUCAGCCAAAAUAUCCUAGCACAAAUGACUGUGAUCUACUUUAACAGAUGUUAAACGGUGUUAUCUAGAGGGGAGGUAUCUGUUAGAUGGAAAGUUAAAUAAGCGAGGUUAGUGUUUGAUUAAAAAAGAGAGGGGUGGAAAGUAAACCCUAGAAAAAUUGCCAACAAAUUUUCACAUCAAAUCACAGAAUAAAAGCAUUUCUGUAUCUCGGCCGCCUGUGUUAGGGUUUGUGCUCCAUUUUUAACUAAAUCAUUACUCUGAUGGAUAUUCGUCCGAUUAAGAAGCAACCUCAAUCCACCGCACCAUUGUUGCCGACAUCCAUACCCGACGAACUCGUGGCAGAAAUUCUGUCAAGACUUGAUGUGAAAACUAUAGUGCGAUUCAAAAGCGUGAGCAAAUCCUGGAACACUCUCAUCUCCGAUCCAGCUUUUGUCGACAAGCAUCUACAGAAGUCAUCACAAAAACAAAAUCUAAUAGUAAUAUGGAAUGAUAACGAUGGUUAUAAUGUCUCACGCAUCCCCUUGCAUCGUUUAAUCGGAAAUCCAUCCAUCGGCAUUCACAGCCACAACAAUAGCCAUUAUUUGGAAAGGGGUUGCUAUAUCGCUGGUUCUUGCAACGGAUUGAUCUGCUUGUUUUCCAAAUAUUUCUAUAUCACAGAAAAUGUUGGAUCUCGACAUGUUGGGCAUGAGAACUACUCCAUCUAUUUCUGGAACCCUUCCACCGGAAAAAAAUCUGAAAAAUUAGGGUCGUUUAGUUAUAGCACUCCUCUAGACCGUCUUCGUCCUUUCCACACUUUGUCAAACUCUUUUCAGUUUGGAUUUGGUUAUGAUGAUUCAAUGAAAACUUACAAGGUUGUGGCCUUUCAUGCUAAAGAGAACAAACCAGCUCCGGUGACAAGUGAGGUCAAAGUUUUUAGUUUGGGUGGUAACUGUUGGAGAAAUAUUCAAAGUUUUCCGGUCAUUCCUCUUAAUGGAUUGAAUCAUAGACAUACUUGUCUUAACAAUGGUAUGCAUUUGAGUGGCACUGUUAAUUGGUUGGCUGGUCUGAAUGAUUUCUAUUCUAUUCAUGAAUACCGGUAUAUUACUAAUGUUGAGGAUUUUGUGAUUAUUUCGCUUGAUCUUUCAACGGAGACAUACAAGCAGUUGUUGCUGCCUCAAGGCUUUGAUGAGAUUUCAGCUGUUUGGCCAGUUCUUAUGGUUUUGAUGGAUUGUCUUAGUUUUUCUUAUGAUACAAAAGACAAUGGUUUUGUUUUAUGGCAGAUGAAAGAGUAUGGAGUUCAAGAGUCUUGGUCUCAAUUAUUUAAGAUUAGUUACCAGAAUGUUCAAGACUGUUGCAUUAAGGAUUAUUAUCAAACGGUAUGCCUUUAUAAAAAUGGUGAUAUGGUAAUAUUUGCAAAACCACAGUGCUCCAACCAAGCAGUGAUUUAUAAUGUGAGAAAUAAAAGAGUAGCGAGAAUUCUAGUUCAAGACUGCAUUGAUUGGUCCUUUCAUGCAAGUGUUUAUGUCGAAAGCUUGGUUGCAUUUCGUUGAAAGUAAGUUUCUCGCUGACAGUUAACUUAUUUAAAUUUUUGUUAAUUCAUUGUGUUAAUAUCCUUAUCAUUUUUUACUUAUAGCUAGAACAUGAUUCUACUGAAAUGAAAUUAAUUCUCUGAGAAAUAUUCUCAUAGAAAAGUUGAAAGAUAAAUGAAAUAUUACUUGAUUUGGAAGUAUAUUACAUUAUUUAAAAUUGAGGUUAAUGAGAAACAAACAUGUAUGAAGAUAAUUUGUUAGAUUUAUCAUUUUUACAUUCUAGUCUUAAAGCAUAUGCUCUGGUUUUGCUUACUAGUACACUAAAUGUUGCCUUUGGUGGGAGGCCUAAAUAUUAAAAUUUCAAUUUGCAUUGAGUAGAGUACUGUUGUAAUUUUUCAUUUAGGAGUUGAAUUUAAUAGUAGUUUUCAUUCAUCGGGAAAAUAGCUUCUUAUACUUCAACUUCAAAAUCCUACAUAUAAUAUAAUUUUGUAAGCAGUACAAGAUUGAUGUCAUGAUAAUAUAUACAAGAUUAAAGUAUGUACAAGAGAAUCUAUCUAUAUGCCUUGACUGUUCGGACUUCUAAGCAUUGACCAACUUUGAUAGAUCGUCUUUACAUUUUAUUUUUGUGUUCUGGUUUUUCAAUUCUAGUCUAAUGAGUAGUUUUUUAAUGUUAGAUCAGCAACCCCAAAACUAUCAAAAUAGGGGAUAAAAGUGAAAUUGGAAAUGGAGAGAUAGUUGGAGAUACAAAGGAAGAUAAGAACCAUUAGAUAUCACAGGACGACGAUCAAUUAAGCGACUUUUUCAUGGAGACGAUGGAUGAGACAAUCAAUUUGUUUUAUGAUGACUUGGAUUUGAAUUAUUUUGAUAUUCAUAUAUAAGAUAUCGACUUAUGUAUCAGUUUAUGCAAAUGCUUGCUCACCUGUUUAACUUAAAAAAUGCAUAUGAUUUCAUGUUUUAGAAGUUUCAACUUUGAUAAUGCUCUUCAGUUUACCUUCAACAUAGUUUCCUGUCAUGAGGUUCAUAGAGUGGGUUGGUCCUCUUUCACGGUGUAGCUGUUUGGCGUUCGUACGUGCGUUGGUUCCCACGGCAUUACCACCUUUGGACUGCUGGCAUUGGUUCUUCCACCGAUGCCACCGCGGUUCUGUUUCUUAUGGCUGUCUGAGGAGCUGUUGAAAAUCUGUGAUGGCUGGUCCUUCGUAGAUCCGUGUUUCAUACGAUGAGAGUGGCUAAAUCUGGUCACCUUCGUCGAUGCUGGUUUUGGUUAUUGUUCCUUCUUUCUGGGCGUCCAAGCUGCUGCGCGCUUUCCCAACCUCGCCAUCGGCCUUUUGGUCGGCGACAUUUUUAAGGUUUGUAAAGGGUCGUGUGGUUGUGGUGGAUCCAGUUUCUGGAUGGUUGGUGGUUUCUCUUCCUCCGCGCCGAGAAUGGGACAAUAGUGUUUUUUCUAAAACCGUGUUCAGUGGUGUGUGGUUUCUAAAACUCAGUUCUGAUCUGUCCCAGUAGCUUGCUGUUGAUUCAAGGCAGUGGGUCUAUUUUGGGGCAAAAGGGCGGUUACGCCUGCUGUGUUUUGCAGGGGGCUGAUGGUACGUGAACCCCUAUCGGUGUUGGCGAUUCGUUCAUUCACUAUUCAAAAAAGAUGUGUAUGAAUUUAUUCAGUCGUGUCUCUGGUUCGUUAAAAUGUUUGCGGACUUUUACACGGUAUUUCUUUUGCAAUUUGGUUUCGUUCCCCGCGUUGGGUUCGCUGGAUUGUGCUAAUAUGUAUCUGUUUGUAUGACCUUUUUGUUUCUUAAUACCACUUUGGUUAUAUUCAUUUUUUGGGAUGACUUUGUGGUUGCUGAGUCAAGUUUAUGCCCCCUCAGCUUUUUGUAUUUUCUCUUUAUUUGAUAUAUUUUCCUUUGCUUAAAAAAAAACUUGGUUUCCUGUCAUGAACAUUUGGUUUAAUACAUGUUCUUCAAUUUAUCAAAUGAGGUCAUAAUGCUUGUGGGUUCUUUUCUUCGUUAUGUGUUAACAUAAUCCAAAUCAUGCAUCGUACUUUUAAUCUUCUUUAGCUAAGAUUUUUUCAAGAAAAGUUAUUAGCUAAGAUCAUUGUAUGGUCCAAACUCCAAAAAAAAUACAGGUUGUAGUAUUUUUUGUUUUGUUCUCUUAAAAACUAUGUUGUUAGUAUUUGUGCAAAAGAAACCAAUCAUCAUAAGAGUUUUCUUAAAGAUCAUGUUAGGGAAGAAUUGUUAUUACUCGAAGCCUGCUUGACAAGUUGGCGUAAUUCUAAUUUAUCUGUUUCUUAACGAGAUCUGAUGUAAGAUCCUUAUUCCUUCUAAUUUAGUACCAUAUAUGUUUGGUUGCACUUCAGCGAAUGUUGCUCACUCUACUGGAUCGCAAAAUGUGAUUUCUGAUGCGCUUGAUUAUGAUCGUCCUCCUGAUGGUUUGCCUCACUUCGAAUGUGGUGGACAUGGGUGAUUUUGUCAAGGACGUGUUGGACCACCAAGCACCGUAUAUGUGUCAUGUUUUUGGAAGGUGUGGUCACGAUGCCAUUAAGUGUUGGUAUCACUUUGACCAGUCCUUCAAUUCCAUGCUCAUGGACACCAAGCACCAAUGCACUUCAAUAUGCACCUAUGCUUUGUCAUAUGUCAGGACUCUAUGAGAGUAAUUCUUGAAGGAUCACUUGGACCUGAUGGCCGUCACAAAUUUCAUCAAUUUCACAUUUUACCUCAAGUUGCUUUUGUUACCCAUUCUUCAGUAACCCUACACUUUCUGCCACUAAAAAUAAUGAUCUGUUUUCCUGUACUUCUUAAUCUAGUGAUAUCCGCUCUCAGUGGCACAUUAGGCCGGGUCAUGCAAAGAAAAAUGUUAAAUUUGUACUUUUGCAAUCCUUUUUGUUUAGGCAGAACUCAUAUAAUACAUGCUCCUAGUUCUCUAAAUACUUAUACUGCAUCGUUUAAGGUUGUUCACAGUGAUCAUUGGGACUCCUUCCCCCAGCCCCUCUUCAUGUUGCUAUUACUAUUACAUAAGUUUGUAAAUACAUUUACGAAACUUACAUGGAUCUAUUUUCUGAUGUGCAAAUAAUUUGAUGUCUUAACUUCCUUUAAAUCUUACAUAUGGUAGCAACUUCCGAUGAACCAUGGAAGUUUCUAUCUUCAUUUGCAUCCUUUCCUGAAUAGUUCCUCUUUUCAGCAACAUUAUAGGUUUGUGCCUAAAUCUCCAAUUCUGAUUCUAAAAAGCAUAAAACUAUUGCAAAUUUUUCUUCAUUACUUUAAAAUAAUCAAAAUUAUGAACAAAACCAUCGAGCAUGAAUGUAACCCUUUGAAGUACUAUAAAAAGGUAUAUCUUUGUUUAUGCGCAGCAAGAAAGGUGUUGAACCACUUCGUAGCGAUCCUUAAAUCGAGAGGGCUAAGCCUGCAAACCGAAAAGCGGCAAGACAACUCAACUUCAUAGAGGAAGAGAAGAUGACAGAUCAUCGACCACCACUGCCACAAAUACGUAUACCUGGAUAUUUUUGCAGAAGGACCAAUAGGGGCUGACUACUCAUGGCUUUCAACCAACUCAUCGUGUGUCUUUCAACAUAAAAAAUGAAGUGCUGACCUGUUUGAUGGUGGAGCAGUGCAAGACCCCAACGAACAUCUCAGUAAAUUCUAUGAGAUUUUCCAGUGUCUCUCUAUCUCUUUGAGUUUUGAUCCUCAAUUAAAAUCAAUUGAAUACAAGAAAUUUAACAUCUAAGCGAAUUCAUGCUUCAUAGAGAAUCGACAUUUUCUCAAUUGGAGGGAAAUGUCAUCUCAUAAUUCUAAUAGAUAAUGCCGCCAUACUUUGCUAAGUUAAGUGAGACUUGUUUAGUGAACCAGCUCUUGUAAUUUCGUUGAUAUAUUUCUGUUUCCAUUCGCUUUCAGCCCGCUUCUACUCCCUUAGACAUUUGCCAUUCCUUAAAACUUCCAACUUUCUGAUUUGGUUCGCUCUCAGCUCGCUUAGCGAAUCACCUUGAACUUAUAAACUUUUAUUUUAUCCCAUCCAUGUAUCUUUAAACAAUAAACCCUAUAAAAUGUAUGGAAUUAUGUCAAAAUAGCUAUAUUGGUUCUAUAGAGCUAGUUUAUUGAUAUUUACAAUAAUUUGAGGAAUUUCAUUAGAUUACUUGUAAAACAGGUCAAUAAGUGCCCAUAAAAUAUGUUGAUACAGUACUUGUCAAUAUUUAUGCACGUCUAAACUUCGUAUUUGUGUCAAUAUUUUAAACACUUUAUGUUUCUGAUAACUUUUUUUAAUUCAAUCUUUUCAUUUAAAAACAAAGUUAACAAUCUAAAAAAACUGAAUUUUUUUCUUUUGGAAAAAAAUUUGACGUUGUAAUUUUGUGAUUUGAACAAAUGAGCUGAACCUAACGAGAUAAAUCUAGUUGAUCGUUAACUUUAAACGAGCCGAACUCGACCUAUAAAAAAAUUUUCUCGCAUUUGAGUCCAGUUACAAGUUGAACCAAAUCUUAUCAAAAGUUAACUCAGACAAGUUAGGCUCAAGUCAUUUCAAGACAUAGUUUCGAGCAAUAUAUAAAUCAGGGGACCCCUAACGCUUUGAGAUUUUUGAUAAAUAUUUGGUGUCCAACUCACUUGCGUGUUUUAUCUUGAUCCAAUGUGGAUUACCCUCACGCUCUCUUCAUGAGCAAAACUUCCGGUAUUCCUAAUCUGGUCUAUAUGCAUCCCACAUGCCUCUCGCGCGGCCCCUAAAAACCCAAAAAUAUAGAGUUGAGCUCAGAUAAGUUCGACUCGAGUCAUUUCGGGACAUAGUAUUGGGAAAUAUAUAAGCUAGAGAACCCCGAAUACUUCUAGGUUUUGGGCAAAUAUAUGAUGUCCAACUCACAUGUGUGUCUGCUCGACCUAAUGUGGAUUACCCCCACCCUCUUUUCAUGUCUCAAACCUUCCGAUAAUCCUAAUAUAUUAUAUCUUAUAUAUUUCUAUCAACCGAGCUAAAUUCACGGGGACUGAUAUUUAUUUUAUUUGUUAUUUUUUUUCUAAAUUACUGGUAAACACACUUGAUAUUCUAUAAUUUAAAAUUGGAGGGGCAUUUUAUGAAGAAAAAAAAAAACAAUUGGGGGUGAAGAAUUUCACUUUUAAAUUUGAUCGAAUGAUCGUAUAUUAUGGAAUCAAGUCGCAUAUAAUAUUUUUUGUAUUCCUUUUUUUGGAAUAAAAUCACACUUAAUAUUUUUUUUUAAGGAAAAUGUAUAAAUCGUAAUUAAUUCAAAAUCUUUCUUAAAAAAAUUAAAAUUUAGUUUAAAAACUAUCUUCUUUCUUACUCCUAUACAAUAUUCGUCUAUAUCUUAUAUAUACCACCAAAUACUUGUUUAAUUCUAUUUUUAAAUCGGUAAAAAUAAACUCUAGAAGAAUUGCCCAGAAAUUUGCAGGUCACAUUGCAGAACAAAAGCAUCUGUGUUUAUUUUUUUUUGCUUGUGGUAGGGUUUGUGCUUCGUUUUCAACAUAAUGAAUCAACGUCAAUCCACCUCACCAUCCCCUCCGGCAUUCAUUCCUGGUGAUCUCAUCACCGAAAUCCUGUCCUUGCUUUGCGUUAAAACCCUCACGCGAUUCAAAUGCGUGAGCAAGUCCUGGAACACUCUCAUCUCUGAUCCAACCUUCGUCGACAACCAUCUUAAGAAGUCAUCACAAAAACAGCACAUCAUAGUAAUGUGGGAAAACAAGGAGGGUUAUAAUGUCUCGCCCUUCCCCUUGCAUAGUUUAAUAAAAAUCCAUCCAUCCCUGUCCACAUCGACAACAUCCAUUGUUUGAAUAACAAUUUCUUUAUUGUUGGUUGCUGCAACGGAUUGAUCUGUUUGUUUUCAAGAUCUCUCUAUAUGACACAAUCUGUAGGGUAUGAGGAUUACUUGAUCUACUUCUUGAACCCUUCUAUAAGAAAAAUAUCUGAAAAAUUAGGGUCAUUUCGUCAUAGUACUCUUCUAAAUCAUAGUGACCAUCGUUUAAACUCUUUUAAGUUCUCGUUUGGUUAUGAUGAUUCAACAAAAACUUACAAGGUUGUAGCCUUUCAAACUUCAACGAAUACUGAUGUAAUGUGUGUUUUGGACGUCUACAGCUUAUUUGCACGUCUCCAUGCAGAAUAAAAGCAUAUGUGUGUUUUGGACGUCUGUGUUAGGGUUUGUGCUGCUUUUUCAACUAAAGCACUACUCUGAUGGAUAUUCGUCCAAUUAAGAAGCAACCUCAAUCCACGGCACCAUUGUUUCCAACAUUCAUUCCAUACGAACUCGUCGCAGAUAUUAUGUUGAGGCUUGAUGUGAAAACUAUAGAGCUAUUCAAAAGCGUGAGCAAAUCCUGGAACACUUUCAUCUCUGAUCCAACUUUUGUCGACAAGCAUCUUAAGCAGUCAUCACAAAUCGUUUAAUCGAAAAUUGUUUCAUCUCUAUAUUAUUAUGGGAAAAUAAGGAUGGUUAUAAUAAUGCCUCACCCAUCCCCUUGCAUCGUUUAAUGGAAAAUCCAUCUAUCAGCAUUCACAGCCACAACAAUAACCAUUAUUUGAAAAAGGGUUUCGGUAUUCUUGGUUCUUUGCAGCGGAUUGAUCUGUUUGUUUUCCACAUCCUACUAUAUCACGGAAAAGGUUUUCCAUGAGGACUACUCCAUGUAUUUCUGGAACCCUUCCGCUGGAAAGAAAUCUGAAAAAUUAGGGUCGUUUUGUUAUAGCACUCCUCUAGAUCGUCUACGUCCUAUGAACAAUUUUUAAAUUCUUUUGAGUUUGCUUUUGGUUAUGAUGAUUCAAUGAAAACUUAUAAGGUUGUUGCCUUUCAUGUUGAUGAGAACAACCCAGCUUCAGGUAAAAGUGAGGUCAAAGUUUUUAGUUUGGGUGUUAACUGUUGGAGAAAUAUUCAAAGUUUUCCGGUCGUUCCUCUUAUUUUGUUGGAUUUUAGACAUAUUUGGCUUAACGAUGGUAUGUAUUUGGGUGGGACUAUUAAUUGGUUGGCUGUUCGCAAAGAUUUCCAUUCUUUAUAUGAAUACCGAGACAGUACUCAUGUUGAGCAAUUUGUGAUUCUUUCGCUUGAUCUUUCGACAAAGACAUACAAACAGUUGUUGUUGCCUCAAGGUUUUGAUGAGGUGCCAUUUAUUCGGCCAGUUCUUAUGGUUUUGAUUUAAUGUCUUUGUUUUUCUUAUGAUACAAAAGACAAUGGUUUUGUUUUAUGGCAGAUGAAAGAGUAUGGAUUUCAUGAGUCUUGGUCUCAAUUAUUUAAGAUUAGUUACCAGAAUCUUCAAGACUGUUGCGUUAAGGAUUAUUAUCAAACGGUGUGCCUUUAUAAAAAUGGUGAUAUUAGCAAAACCAAAAAGAUCCGGCCACCAUGCAAUGAUCUAUAAUUUGAGAGAUAAAAAAGUAGUGAGAAUUACAUUUGAAGACUGCAUUAACUGGUCCUUACAUGCAUAUGUCUAUGUCGAAAGCUUGGUUGGAUUUCGUUGAAAGUAAGUUUCCCAAUGACAAUUAACUUAUUUGAAUUUCUGUUAAUUCUUUGUGUUAAGCACCUUAUCAUUUUGUACUUAUAGAUUGUGUGAAAUUUCUUAAAGGUGGCUUCGGUUUAUUGUAUUGUUAAUUGAUUAUGUAUAGCAGGCGCGCUGUAAUUUUAUAUUUAUUAUGAGCUAGAAGAUGAAGUUUUUUAAAGUUUACUAGCUAGAACUUGAUUCUCCUGAAAUGGAAUUUAGUCUGAGAAAUACUCUCAUAGAAAAGUUGAAGGACAAAUGAAAUAGUACUUUAUUUGGAAACAUAAAAAUUAACAUAAUGAAAGGCAGAAGCGGGAAUAAGUUUAAUGAGAAACAUACAUGUAUGAAGACACUUGGUUAGAACGUUGUUACUUUUAAGCAUUGACCGAAUCAAAGAAGCAUUAAGUUCCUUUCUUGUACUAAAGAUGACAACAAUGUUGCUGGUUACUGCAACUGUUGUCAUACCUGAGAAAUGUUUCUAUGGUCACAAGCCUAAAUAUAAAACAUUUAAAAACACACACAUAACAAAACUACAUUAUUAAUUGUUGUCUGCUUCACCUUUUACAAGUUAUGUGUCACUGUAUCAAAUGAUUUAUAUUAAAGAUCGUGACUACAUAAGUGUUACUCGUCAUAGUUUAUUUUGUGUUUACAUUUUAUUUUAUAUUGUGUUCUGGUUUUCUCUUCUAGUCUAAUGGGUAUUUUUUUUUAAUAUUAGAUCAGCAACCCCAACCCUAUCAAAAUAAGGGAUCAAAGUGGAUUUGCAAAUGGAGAGAUACGAAGCAUUUGGAUAAAGUAGGCGACAUUGUGUUGGGGAUCUAAAAUAUUUAUUUAUAUUAUGCCAUUUUCUCAAAUGUUAUUUUGUCAUUAUUUUUUGUGGAGGAAGCAACUAUUUUUGUCAUUUUGUUUUCUGAUGACUUGCAUUUGAAUUACUUUGAUGGUCAUAUAUUAUAUAUCGAUUUUUUUUAUGCACAUAUGAUAUAUCGUCUUAUACCUCAGUUUAUGCAAAUGUUUGCUCACCUAUAUUUAACUUAAAAUGCUGAUUUUUUCAUGUUUUAAAAACUUCAACUUUGAUAAUGCUCUGUAUUUGUGAUAUGUGUUACUGUGUAUAUAAAAUUCAGUUACAGCUUCCAUCAAGAGAUCGCAACCAAGUGGUAAUUCUUGCCGUGGAGGAGGGGAUUAACCAGCGUGGUGGUUUGAUUUUCAUUCUGCUGAAUGUAGUACGGAUUUUGAGAAUGAUCCGUGAGAGCAGGAAUACCUCGCAUAUGUCUUGCGAUUUCAAUCCUUAGCAUAAUUGGCGAUUUCAAUCCGUAUCGUAUCUUGUAUCCAGACUUCACAGCUAGUGAGUCUCGCCUCUCACGAGAUAAGCUUUAGCACUGUUUUCUAAUUGGUAGAGAUUUUUUUUUUUCGAAAGAUCUAAUUGGUCGAGAAUGUCAAGUAGUUGUAAAUUAAAGCGUAUAUUCUUCACUACACAUUAAAGUGUUUUGAAAUUCGUGCUUCAUUCAUGUGGAUAUGUUCUACGGUAGGAAGGACAUAUUAUUUUUGGUAGCUAAAUGACGGAAGAAGCUGAUACCAAAUGCUUAUUAUAUAUAUUAGGGAAAUGUUAACAAGUGCUUCUAGGGUACUCUUUAAACACUUUAAAUAGUAAGUUUUUAAUGAAAAAUUGUAUAUUCAAUGCAUUGGAAACUAUAAACGUUAACUUUUUGAAAGAAUAAUUGCUAAAUUUAGUAUCCUUAAAAAAUGUCCCAAGACAUUCGUUACCAACACCCUAUAUAUUAUGCACAUGAAAGUGUUUUGAAAAUCGUGCUACCUUUGUCUCGAUCUGUUAUACUUUAGGAAGGAAAGAUUGUUUAUGGUACCUACCCUUAAAUGGGACCGAAGAGGCUGAUACCAAAUGCUUAUAUAACGGAAACCUGAUAUACCAAAGAGGCUGUUAUACCAAAUGCUGAUAACGGAAACCUGAUAGCAGGUGGCCCAACGGAUCUUGGAGGAGGCUCUGAUACCAUCUUAGAAAUUGUGGUUGGGUCUAACACAACCCCACAAUACCGACUUGUGAGGUGAGGAUUGCCCCCACUUAUAAACACAUUGUCAGACCAUGUCCUAUCCGAUGUCGGACUCUUAACACAUGUCAAUGCUUCAACAUUCCAAAAAGCCAUAGAGAGUGACUUCAAUUCAGCAUACCCUAUUAAAACCCAACUUCUUCAAUUCCCUUCAACUUAAGUUGGUCUCCCUGAUGGUGUUGAAAACAUGAAAGAUGGAACUUCAUUUGAAAUACAAAGGGGUCACACAGACUAUAUUUAGUUAACUUAAAUUUUUUAGAAUGGUACAAAGGAGUAUACACAUUAAGGUGUGAACCUAUCAUUGAACUAAAAAAUAUGUCAUUAUUUCAAUUAUUAAUCUUUGAUUACAAAAGAUAAAACAAACAAAAAAUGUAAAUACAAAAAGAUAUUCAAAACAAACCUAAAAGAAAGCUAAGUUUUGUGUUGAGGUAUUUGCUAUUUCAAUCCAUAGGCAAUUCAUCUUUUUUUUUAUUCCAACUUUUAUUUUUAUUUUUUUUUCUUCCAAACGACACAAAUGACACAGUUCAUGAGCAUGGGCAUGCAAGUAAACCAUUAACCAAGCCAACCAACUCUCUCACAUGCAUAUAAGCGGUCAUCUCUCUGACGUUCAUCUAGGAGCGGGUAGCAGAGCGGCUAGUCUCUCUCCUAUCUUGGCUUUGGUCUGGAAGAGUUGGGCUCCCCCCAAGGUUCGUAUCUUUUCAUGACAACUACUCCUUGAUAGGAUUCCUACUAGGAUGAACCUCUUGAGACACGGUGUGCUAAGAGAUCAAGAGGCUUCUUUGUGUGUAUUUUGUGGUGCGGAGGCGGAGACUGUUAGUCACUUUUUUGUUACUUGUACGGUUGCGUUGAGGGUUUGGUAUGAUAUUUUUAGAUGGCUUGGUUAGGAGUUACUCCUUCCUAGGGAUUUGUUAGGUCUUUUUGAGGGGUGUUGUGUGUUUCCUAGGAGAGAGUAUUAGGUGUGGUUUUUUGUUGAUCUGGCACUCGGUGAUGUGGUACAUCUGGUCUGCUCGUAUUGAUCUGGUGUUCUCUGCUAGGAUAUUGGAUGUAGAGCAAUUGGUUGAUAAAAUCCAGUUUACAUCUUGGCACUAGUUUUAUGAGAGUCACUCUGGUCAUCCCUGUUCCCAUUAUGAGUGGGUGGCGGAACCAUCUAUCUGUUAGGACCGAUAGGUUUCUGGGGAGGAGUUUUGCUUGGUUCUGGGUUUGUUUUGUUUUCUUUGCAACUUUUCUUGGGGUAGUUGGAUGCACAUCACUUUAAAAUGAAAAUUAAUUUAAUGCACAUCACUUUAAUUUUCGAGACUCUAGAUUUCAAGUCGUACUAUUUGUCAGCUUCAUAAGCUCCUAAUUUUAGAAUUGAUUAAUCAAAAUAAAAAACCUUUAAAAAAUAUUAAAGUCGGUGACUAUGUUAGAUCCUCUUUUAGUUUGGUCAUAUAAAAAAUAAAAAAUAGUGAUUAUUAUAUGUUUGUUUAUUAUGUUGAACAAUUAAAUAUUUAUAUUAUGUUCAAAAAAUGUCAAAAUUAUAUUCAUUAGGGAUCAAAAAUAAAACAAAAAAUAUUUUGAGGAUGAAAACAUCUCAUUUUAUUUUUUAGGGAUUAAAAUAAAAAAAAAGUCUUGCUUACCGGUGCCUUAAGGGCAAUGGUUAAGAAAUCCAAAAGUAGAAGUUUUGUUUUGGAAACGUAAUAUGUUACAUUUGAUCAAAUAAUAAUUAUACUACUUUUUAUUAAAAAGUUACUUGUUUUAGUUGCUUAACCGAUACCCUUAAGACAUUGGUUAACAUUCUUCUUAAAAAACACGUUUGUGGAAAAGAAAUUUAACAUGCACAUUUUGGUACCAAACACUUCAUGAUACUCGUGAGUCUCGCCUCUCACGUGAUAAAUUGCUGGAUGGACGUUUUUCUGAUUUUUUAAUUGGUAUCUACCUUAAAUGACGGAAGAGGCUGAUACCAAAUGCUUAAUAUAUAUAUAUAAGCACAUGAAACUGAUGUUCAUUUAUUGGAACCUACCCUUAAAUAUCAAUUCUCCUAGUAAUAGAACCAAGCAACAAUGGAAUCUCAACAAUCCCAUAACAAACUUCAUGUUGUUUUUCUUCCAUAUCCAGCUAUUGGCCAUAUGAACCCUAUGAUUGACACUGCAAGACUAUUUGCAAAGCAUGGUGUUAAUGUUACCAUCAUACUUACACAUGCCAAUGCUUCAAGGUUCCAAAAAUCCAUAGAUAGUGAUGUCAGUUUAGGAUACUCCAUCAAAACUCAACUUCUUCAGUUCCCUUCUGCUCAAGUUGGUCUCCCUGAAGGUAUUGAAAACAUGAACGAUGCCACUUCACGAGAAAUGCUUAGUAAAGUCACUCGUGGAGUAUGGAUGCUCAAAGAUUCUUUUGAAGUUCUGUUUAAAGAUCUUCAACCAGAUUGUAUAGUCACUGAUAUGAUGUAUCCUUGGACUGUGGAAUCAGCUGCAAAACUAAAUAUUCCAAGGAUUCACUUUUGCAGCUCAAGCUACUUCUCCGACUGUGGAAUUUAUUUUGUUAGAAAAUAUAAACCCCAUUAUAAUUUAGUUUCUGAUACACAGAAAUUUACAAUUCCUUGUUUACCUCAUACAGUUGAGAUGACCCGUCUUCAACUUUGUGACUGGGAAAGGGAAACCAAUGUUAUGACGGCCAUUUUUGAACCAAAUUAUGUAUCAGCGGAAAGAAGCUAUGGGUCACUAUACAACAGUUUUCAUGAACUUGAAAGUGAUUAUGAGAAUCUUAGUAAAACUACAAUCGGAAUCAAAUCAUGGAGUGUCGGACCAGUUUCAGCCUGGGCUAACAAGGAUGAUAAAAGAAAGGCGAAUAGGGGACACACGGAGAAAAGCAUAGGAAAACAGACAGAAUUGCUAAAUUGGCUUAACCUGAAGCAAAAUGAGUCUGUAUUGUAUGUAAGUUUUGGCAGCCAGACUAGGUUUCCUCAUGCUCAGCUUGUAGAAAUUGCUCACGGGCUUGAAAAUUCAGGUCAUAAUUUUAUCUGGGUUAUAAAAAAAGAUGAUAAAGUUGAGGAUGGAGAAGGUUUCCUGCAAGAAUUUGAGGAAAGGAUGAAAGAAAGCAACAAGGGCUAUAUCAUAUGGGACUGGGCACCGCAACUUCUGAUAUUGGAUCACCCAGCAACAAGAGGAAUUGUGACUCACUGUGGUUGGAACUCAAUUCUUGAAAGCUUGAAUUCUGGUUUGCCAAUGAUUACGUGGCCAGUGUCUUCUGAGCAAUUUUACAAUGAGAAGUUGCUUGUUGAUGUUUUAAAGAUAGGGGUCCCAGCAGGAGCAAAAGUAAACAAGUUCUGGAUGAACAUUACAGUAGAUGAAAUGGUGAGAAGGGAAGAGAUUACAAAGGCUGUUGAGAUUUUGAUGGGAAGUGGCCAAGAGAGCAAAGAAAUGAGGAUGAGAGCAAAGAAACUUGGUGAUGCUGCCAAAAGGACUAUAGAGGAGGGUGGAGAUUCUUACAACAACUUGAUUCAGUUGAUUGAUGAGCUGAAAUCGUUGAAGAAAUCUAAAACGCUUGAUGAGAAAGCAGAUUAGACGAUUCAGAUGAAGAUGAUGUAAUCUUUGUACUUUAGGAGGUGUAGCAUGAUGAAACACCAUCAUCCAACUAUUUUUCUCGAGCUAUUUCUUGCUGCUUUUUGUAAUUCAAUAACAUGAAACAACAUCGGAUUCUAAAUGUUGUUGUUGGUGUGUGUUCUAAACAUUAACAUUUCAGUUAGCAUCGAGUAGUGUACUGUUGUAAUUUUUUAAAAUUUUCAUCGAAGAUUUGAAAUUUAAUUGAAGUUUUCAUUAACCAAGAAAAUAUAUGAUGGUUGCAAAAUUUUCACAUGCAUAAUUAAAUUAUAUUGAAUGUUCUUUACGUCUAAGCAUUGACCGAAUCAAAGAAGCAUUCAGUUCCUUCCUUGUACUACAGACUACAACAAUGCUGCUGCUUAUUGUUUAUACAUGAAUGUUAUCAAUUGUUAGUACCCUUAAGGCCCUUAUUAGCAAGACCCAUAAAUAUAAACCUUAUCAUAUUUUCUACAGAAUGUCUUGAAAAUUUAUAUAUUUUUUUCUUAUCCUUAUCUCAAAAGAUAUUAAAGGCAAACACUUGACGGUUAACUUUAAUACUUUAAGCUCUACAAUCUUGGCUUUUUAUUUUUUUGAAAAAACCCAUGUAUUUUAUUAACGAACUAUUCAACCUAGAAGGUGUACCAUGAAUAGAACAUGAGUACAAAACAGAAUAACAAAAUAAACAACUUAUCUUGACAUAUUUGAUUAUGCAAAUAAUUGAUCCGCUAGUUGUUUUUAUAAUCCUAUUAAUCAUCAAAGAAAUUAAAAGAAACACUAAAAAAAACCAAGAGGUACCUGCAACAUAAAAGAAACACUAAAAAAAAAACAAGAGGUACCUGCAACAUUUUGCUAACAUUGUAUGCUAUGUUUCUUUGUUUUGUCUUCUAUAACCGUUAAGUGUUAGCCUUUAAUAUCUUUUGAGACAAGGAUAAGAAAAAAAUAUAUAAAUUUUCAAGUUCGGGGGGCAUUUUGCUAAAUGUCAUGUUGACUAACAGAAGAAUUUGACGGAGGGGGUAAAUUGAUUAACGUUGUGCAAUUUCAGGAGGAUAAUUGAAGUUUUGUUAAUUUCAGGGAAGGUAAUUAUCAAAAUUUACUAUUUCAGUGGGUAAUUGCCUAAUUACUCAUUAUCGAAAAGGAACAUAAUUGUCUAAUGUUGACUACUUAAUAAUUAACACUAAUUGAGAUUGAAAACAAACAAUUUGAAAAUAAACAAAUUUGUUCCCAAUUAGAGAGAAGAACAAAAGAAGAGAAGUUAUUAAAGGGAGAAGAACAUAGAAGUAUAGCAUUAGAGAGAAGAGAAACAAAGUAGAACUCAUUGGAGAUGUUGAAGGGGGAAAUCCGUGAUGAUGAUGUUGAGAUUGAGGCAAUCGGUGGUAAUGGUCAAAAGAGAGAAUAACGAUUUGUUAGUGGUGAUGAGAAACCCUACUUUUUUGGGGUUGGAAGAGACAAUCUAUUUUUUGAUAACGCUGCCAGAAGUAUCGGUGUCGUAAUAUAAGUUAGCCAUAUCGGAGUAUAAGUUAGCCGUACCUAACACGAUCGAUCUUUUAUUUUCAACAAAAUAAAUAUCAAUCGCCCGAUACUUCUCCCGUAUCGGUGUCGAAUUCUUCACCAUCUUCAGAGUAUCGACGCUUCACAGAUCUGGAGCAACAAUGAUGGGAUAUUCCUCUUCAAAUUAAAUAGAGAUUUUGCUUCCUUCUAAAUAAGCUAGACUCGCUGAAUGGUAUUCUUGUGCUUCUAUUGGUUACAUAUAAGGACAUAGGUAAAGGGUACCAUUUAACCUGGGAAAGGGGAGUAGUUUUCCAUCAUGGGAAAGUUUUGUUUUGCCCAUGAGAUUGAAGAGGAGUACUGAUCUUAUCAUGGUCUGUCUGUAUUAUAUUUUUUUUCUCUUUCAUACUAUGUUGAACCCCCCCCCCCCCCCCCCCAUCAUGUUGCAAAACUAUCAUAGGAGAGCAUAAAUCAUAUUAUCUUAAAUUAUUUGAUUGCUCUUCAAUUAUAAAUAAAUGAACUAAAAAGUGCUAUGGCGUUGAACAUUUCAAAAACUGAAACAGGGUCAAUUGAACUCCAAGAAAUGGAUACAAGUGUGCUUCCAAGAGUGAAGAACACACUAGUCUUGCAAAUAAAAUAUAUAUUGCCAUCGAUAAUUCAAUAUUGGUGCAGAUCUAACAAUAUUAGUUCAACUUUUAGCAUAAGUUCAUUUAACAUGCACAUCACCCCACUGCAUCUCCUCUUCAACUAUUUGAAACCUUCAUAAAUUAUGUUUUGCUAUCAUGAAUCAAACACUUCAAGAUCACUAGCAUGCUUUAAAAUAAAUUGGAUCUGAAAAAUGAAAAAGAAAUUGGAUCUAGACUAGUUUUCCUCACCUCAAAAGAAAAAGAAAUUGUAUCUGGAAAACGAAAAUAGACGAGAAAAGUUUUUGAUCUAGAAAGAACAACAACAUUCAUCACCUUAACAGACUGGAAAAUGAAAAUAGAACAGAGAAAAAGUUAUUUCAUUCAUAGAUUUAGGCAUGUACUCCGGCGGCAGUAGGACGGCGACGAUGGGCAGUGGUGGUAACCACCGUCCUUCUUCAUCUUUAUUUUUGUCGAAUCUGGUGACCUGAACUCCUUGAAGGUUGUUGGUGGUGGUGAGUAAAGAGAGGACAAGGGCGUUCAAGGGAGGAUGAGGACGGUGAUUGAAGUCGAUGACAAGAAGAGUGGGGAUGGACGUAGAUUUGAGACGGUGGGUGUGGUGCUAUUUCUGGUGGUGAAGAGUGGGAAUGGAGGAGAGAGAAGACUGGUAGGAGAGUGUGUAAAAAAUAUCUAUUGUUAACAGUCUAUGAUAAUACCAUGUUCUCCAUUUGAUAUAAUAGCCAAAAUCAACUUUCCUAUGGUGGGAAACUAGUCCCCUUUUCCAGGUUAAACGACACCUAGGUAAAGAUAUAGAGCCCGUUUGUUAUAGGUUUUUUCAGGGAAAAAUCACUUUUAAAAAAAGAAAAUAAUCACUUUUAAGAGUUUUGCAUCCGUUUGUUACAACAUUUUGAAAAAAUCAAAAUCUAAAAAUAAUCUAAAAACAGCUUCAAAUGAGAAGCCUGUUAAGAGAAGCUUCUCAAAAAAUAGAUUUUUUUUAGAGGAGAGAGAAAAUAGGGUUUAAAAGAUUAAACUAAUUUUGUAACAAAAAAUCUCUUUUAUAAAGUUGUAUCCAAACAAAUUAGAUUAUUUGUUUACAAAAAGUGUUUUUUAUUAUGGUAAACAAACGCAAAAUAGAUUCUGAUUUUUUAUAAAAUCUCUAAAAUAUAAUCUCUAAAUUAUCACUACAGGAAUUUUGCAUUUUAGUGGCAGAAUUAAACCCUCAGUAAUGCCAAAAAUCCCUCAGUACCACACAUUACUGGCAAAUUGGUGUCCCUCAGUAAUACUGGCGUCAAUAAUGUUACUGGCGGAAUUUUUCCUCAGUAAUAGAGAGGUAGUUUUGACAAAGCAUUACUGAUGGAUUAUUCCUUCAGUAAUUACUGGCAGAAUAAUCCUUUUUUGGGUAAUUAUUUUUUAAAAAAAUUUGAUUCAAUUAAAAAACAUCAUAUAAUUUUAAAUGUCUAAUAAACAUGUAUUUUGUCAACUCAGCAUAACACAUAUGUAAAUUUUUAUUGUCACUUGCGACCAAAGUCCAAAAGCGAAUGAAUUUAAAAUAAUAAAGGUUGAAUGAUUUGUACCAAAAAAAUGGGUGAAUGAAAAAAAUUCACAUGAAAGAGAAUGUCAUUUUAAACUUAAAUUUUAAGAUAAAAAAUAAACAAAUGAUAUCCAAAAACUAAAUAAACAAUUUAUUUAUGACUUUCGAGAGAGAUUUUACGUUAAGUUUGAUCAUCACGUUAGAUAAAGAGAAUUCAUACAAGUGAGUUUGACACUACAUUUUCACCCUAAACCUUAAGGAAUUAGGUAUAUGUGUCAAAUCACUUAUACGUUGCUUUACAUUUACUCAUGCGUCCAAUGCAGAACUCUAACACAUACUUGACACAUUAACAUUUUUCUCUCAAAUUUGAGACUCUCCACAUCCGAGAUCUACCACCAUGAAUCAAUCAUGCUUUUCCAUAAAGUUGAACAGGCCAUGAUACCAUCGUUAGACCUUAUGAGGGGCCAACACUGGUGUGGAUCAACUAAUUGAAUAGAGAGCAACCAAACAAAUGACAAUAAUAACACAUCUUUACUCAAUAUUUUAAGUAUCGCAAAAUCUAAGUCGUGCUUGACAGUUUGACGCGGGUAUCCAUACUAGUUGUAUAUCAAAUUGAUAUAUAUAGAUUACUCCUUGUAUCUCGAAUAUAAAUAAAAUAUAAGUAUAUAUAUAUCUUGAUUGCAUAAAAAAAUAGAUAUAUUGUGUUCAAAUUUUUAUUAGAUACAUCAAUCAGUUUUGUUUGACUUUUUUAUUUUAUUUGUGGUUAGUAGCAACAAAAAAAACAUAGGAACAUAAAAAUCAGAUUGAGAUUCUCUCCAUUUCAUUGUCACUUCCAUUUUGAGAGAAAUAGACUCUUAGAAUUAAAAAUACUCACUCUAUCAAUUAAUAUAGACUAAUAAAUUGAUCUAAAAAGUAUGUAACUAUUACCAAAGAGUAUUAAUAAAGAGUAUUAGUUGUAAAUAGAAUAAUGAAUGCAUCUUAAAAUUUGUAGAUAUUUUGUAUUUAGGGAUGGACAUUUGUAAAUAAUCUUAUAAUUAAAGACGAAGAGAUUACUUAAUCAAAUAAAAAUAUUGAAAUAUGUUGUUAAUAUUCAUAGUGAAUAUUUUAUUAAAGAGUGGUAUAAAGACGAUAGUAUUUGUUCAUUUGAAAAUAAAUCUGAAAAAUAUGUAGCAAUGUUUUAUAAAUCUGAAAAUGAUAGUUUUUGAAAGUUGAUUAAGAUGAAAUAUGUAGCAAUGAUAUAUAUUUAUUUGAUAUUACAAGUUGAGUAUUUGAAAAAUAACACUUUUGUGAAUCAUGAAUCUUAUAUAGAGAUGUGUUAAAAGGGUUAUAGAUGGAAAAAUCACAUUUUUUAUGCACUCAGAUGAUUGUAAAGUCAGUCGCUAGAUGUAGACAAAAAAUUGUUUGAGAAUUUGAGUAAAUAAUGAAGAACUAAUUGGUCCUAAAGUACGAUAUUUUAGUUCAAUCGAUCAGACACGAUAAUGUACCUUGCUAACUAUUUAUGUUAUGAUAUAUAUAUAUAUAUAUAUAUAUAUAUAUAUAUAUAUAUAUAUAUAUAUAUAUAUAUAUAUUAUAUAUAUAUUAUUUUUUAUUUUGUUAUAUUAGAAAUGCAGGUUAUUUGUGUCAUACUAAUGAGACUUUAACACUACAUAAAGAAAGUCGAGAAUGUGUUUGGUUGAGGUCUAUGAUUGAAUACAUAGAAGGAACUUGCAAUUUUUCUUCCGAAAGAGUGAAUGAAAGAAUCAUUUAUGAAUAUGUUACCAUGUGCAUUGCUCAGUUGAAAGAAGGUGAUCUUCAGAAUAAUGAUGAUAUAAGCACUCAACAAAUUUGUUCGUGUGAUAAUCUUGCAGGCCUUUCCACAAAAGUCACUCCAAGCAUAAUUUUUGAUCAACAAAUACAAAAUAUUGAUCUUAAUCGUUGAUGACAGGUCAUCUUACGUUAUUCAUAGCAUGUUUUUCAGUCAUUUUCAGUAGGUUUUAGCAGCAAAAAGGAUGAGUAUUAGAACAAUUGUUUAUGAUUUCAGGAUUUUUGUAAUGUUUUCUAUAUUUGAGUUUGUAAUUCUAGUUUUCCUAAAACAUAGCAAUUUUAGGGGGUUUUUGAAGUAAUUCACGAAGAAAUCAUGCAAAUCGGCAAAUCAAAAUCAUCCGAAGAUUUGUGAAGACUUUGGGAAGACCAAGAAUGAAGAUUCAAGAGGCUUCAGGAGACUUUACAAUGGAAGGAAUUCUGUUCUCAGGUCCCGAGGUAAGUUAUUUGGAGGAAAACACCAAACACUACGGAAGAACGAAGAAUUUGGGUUCAGAACACACACACAGAUGCCUAGGGCACUCACAUGCGCCUAGGGCAUGGUGCAAGCAGCACUCACAUGUGCCUAGGGCUUUACUUCAUAACAUUACUUUGUAGGUCGACAAUGCGGAUCGAUGGCAAUGACGGUUAGACCUUGUUGUUGGUUAUAUAGUCGGCGAAGCUUAUCAGUUGCUUUCUACCACUCAACCGAGAGCUCUUUCACCUGUUUCGUAGCUGAUUUGGCAUAAGGAGAUUCUUCUGAAGGCCUCGUUACUUGUAUGAUGUCUUCUUCGUAAUCGAAUUCCAAUUAAAGAUAAUUUAUUUCAAAGGGAAAUUAUUAAUCAUGAAUCAAGGCUUUGUGUGAGUGGUUGUGGCGCUUUUGAGACGAUAAACCAUCUUUAUUUGGAGUGUAACAUUUCAGUGCUAUUCGGUACUUUAUUCGACAAUGACUUUGGUUUGAUUUGGUCCAAUCUUUGAGCAUUUCAAACCAUUUUAUUCAGUUUGGUCAUUCAGAAGGUGAUUCUAAACUGCGGCUUUCUAUUUUGCUUGUCAUAUGGCUCUUGUGUGUAUGGAUAACUUUGAAAGCAAGGAAUAAAAUAAUCUUCAACCAUGAGGAAUAAACAAUUCAGUAGCUUUUUGACAAAACACGUAAAUUUUUGUGGAAAAGAAAUAUAAGAUGCACUUCAUGAUACUCGUGAGCCUUGCCUCUCGCGAGAUAAAUUGAUGGAUGGAAGUUUUUUUGUUUUUUUUAAUUUGUAGUGAAUGUCUAGUGGUUAUAAAUUAAAGCGUAUUUUCUUCACUACACAUAAAAGUGUUUUUUUAAUUCGUGCUACCUUUGUCUGGAUCUGUUAUACUUUAGGAAAGAAAGAUUGUUUAUGGUACCUACCCUUAAAUGGGACGGAAGAGGUUGAUACCAAAUGCUUAUUAUAUAUAAGCAAAUGAAACUGAUGCACUUCAUUGGUACCUACCCUUAAAUAUCAACUCUCUUAGUAAUAGAACCAAGCAACAAUGGAUUCUCCUCAAUCUCAACAAUCCAAUAACCAACUUCAUGUUGUUUUUCUUCCAUAUCCAUCUGCUGGUCAUAUGAACCCUAUGAUUGACACUGCAAGACUAUUUGCUAAACAUGGUGUUAAUGUUACCAUCAUCACUACACAUGCUAAUGCUUCAAGGUUCCAAAAAUCCAUAGAUAGUGACAUCAGUUUAGGAUACUCCAUCAAAACUCAACUUCUUCAGUUUCCUUCAGCUCAAGUUGGUCUACCUGACGGUGUUGAAAACUCGAACGAUGCUACUUCCCGUGAAAUGCUUAGUAAAGUCACUCGUGGAGUAUGGAUGCUCAGAGAUUCUAUUGAAGUUUUAUUUCAAGAACUUCAACCAGAUUGUAUAGUGACAGAUAUGAAGUAUCCUUGGACUGUAGAAUCAGCUGCAAAACUAAACAUUCCAAGGAUUUACUUUUGCAGCUCAAGCUACUUCUCCGAAUGUGCAAUUUAUUUUGUUAGAAAAUAUAAACCCCAUUAUAAUUUAGUUUCUGAUACACAGAAAUUUACAAUUCCUUGUUUACCUCAUACAAUUGAGAUGACCCGUCAGCAACUUUGUGAUUGGGAAUUGGAAAACAAUGCUAUGAAGGCCAUUUUUGAACCAAUGUAUGAAUCAGCAGAAAGAAGCUAUGGGUCACUAUACAACAGUUUUCAUGAACUUGAAAAUGAUUACGAGAAGCUUUGUAAAAGUACAAUUGGAAUCAAAUCAUGGAGUGUCGGACCAGUUUCUGCCUGGGCUAACAAGGAUGAUGAAAGAAAGGCGAAUAGGGGACACAUGGAGAAAAGCUUAGGAAAACAGACAGAAUUGCUUAAUUGGCUUAACUCGAAGCAAAAUGAGUCAGUAUUGUAUGUAAGUUUUGGCAGC
rnacentral:lncRNA from 1 species